UUAGAGCUGAAUGGGUGCUUCA
rnacentral:siRNA from 1 species